ensembl:misc_RNA
NNCUAGGAGCCCGGCUGCCCAGUGUGUACGAGGCGGGGGGCGGGGCUAGGCGCGGCCUUGACAACCAUUAGAGCGCUUGGGGCUGCGCGGCUCGGGGACUAUGUUUCCCAGGGGCCGUCGCGGCGGGCCGGAAGGGGUGGGCCUCCUGCCACUGCGCACGCGCGCCAGUCCGGCUGGUUAUAUAAGGGAGGC